rnacentral:rRNA from 1 species
GACGAACGCUGGCGGCGUGCUUAACACAUGCAAGUCGAACGGAAAGGCCUCUUUCGGGGGGUACUCGAGUGGCGAACGGGUGAGUAACACGUGAGUAACCUGCCCUUGACUUUGGGAUAACUUCAGGAAACUGGGGCUAAUACAGGAUAGGAGCUCCUGCUGCAUGGUGGGGGUUGGACAGUUUCGGCGGUUGGGGAUGGACUCGCGGCUUAUCAGCUUGUUGGUGGGGUAGUGGCUUACCAAGGCUUUGACGGGUAGCCGGCCUGAGAGGGUGACCGGCCACAUUGGGACUGAGAUACGGACCAGACUCCUACGGGAGGCAGCAGUGGGGAAUAUUGCACAAUGGGGGGAAGCCUGAUGCAGCAACGCCGUGUGCGGGAUGACGGCCUUCGGGUUGUAAACCGCUUUCGCUCAUGACGAAGCUUUGUGUGACGGUAGUGGGUAAAGAAGCACCGGCUAACUACGU